rnacentral:lncRNA from 10 species
AUGAUUCUCCAAGUUCUCUUUCUCCUACUGUGGCACCUACUGACAAGAUAAAUGUGUAGAGGUUCCUGAGUCUAGGGGCACUGGAACCAGCUGACUGAUCUAUGGAAGUUCCCUUGGUCUCCAUUUGUUUAGAAAAGCUGCAAUAAAGCAUAACCAGGAGUACAACAGAUUUCAAUUUCUGUGAGUCCUUCUAGCAAAUUGCCAAAACUGAAGAUGGCUUUGGGAACAUCCAAAGUUAUACCAGAGCUUUCAUGGUGAAAGAAGAGGGCAAAACUCAACCCGUCUCUUUAGACUUGGGAAGAAUAUGAAAGGACCAGGAGGGACACCUUUCCUAAUAACCUAGCUGAUGGUUCACUUAUUAGGCUGGAAAGCUGAAAAAUGACAUUCCCAGACUCCAUUGAAAUUAGAUUUCCAGAGAGUUGUCUCACUAAGCCCAAAUUUGUCUAACUGGCCUUAUUUCCCUGGAGUAUAUCCUGGAAGUUUCCAUUCAAGCCAAUUUAAGUUACUUUAAAUUAGGAAAGGCAGAAAACAAAAGCCCAAACCUUUGUAAAGGAGGAGGAUUUGCUACAUUGUUCUCAAUUCAUCACAGAAGAGGAUGAAACUGAGUGAUUACACUUGCUGGAGAGAAA